GGAUCGUAAAGCUCUGUUGUUAGGGAAGAACAAGUGCGAGAGUAACUGCUCGCACCAUGACGGUACCUAACCAGAAAGCCACGGCUAACUACGUGCCAGCAGCCGCGGUAAUACGUAGGUGGCAAGCGUUGUCCGGAAUUAUUGGGCGUAAAGGGCUCGCAGGCGGUUUCUUAAGUCUGAUGUGAAAGCCCCCGGCUCAACCGGGGAGGGUCAUUGGAAACUGGGAAACUUGAGUGCAGAAGAGGAGAGUGGAAUUCC
rnacentral:rRNA from 1 species